GUAAAAGCUCGUUUGAUUC
rnacentral:snRNA from 1 species